rnacentral:rRNA from 1 species
GACGAACGCUGGCGGCGUGCUUAACACACGCAACUCGAACGGAAAGGCCCUGCUUUUGUGGGGUGCUCGAGUGGCGAACGGGUGAGUAACACGUUAGUAACCUGCCCUUGACUUUGGGAUAACUUCAGGAAACUGGGGCUAAUACCGGCUAGGAGCUCCUGCUGCAUGGUGGGGGUUGGAAAGUUUCGGCGGUUGGGGAUGGACUCGCGGCUUAUCAGCUUGUUGGUGGGGUAGUGGCUUACCAAGGCUUUGACGGGUAGCCGGCCUGAGAGGGUGACCGGCCACAUUGGGACUGAGAUACGGCCCAGACUCCUCCGGGAGGCAGCAGUGGGGAAUAUUGCACAAUGGGCGGAAGCCUGAUGCAGCACCGCCGCGUGCGGGAUGACGGCCUUCGGGUUGUAAACCGCUUUCGCCUGUGACGAAGCGUGAGUGACGGUAAUGGGUAAAGAAGCACGGGCUAACUCCAUG